UACGUAGGGUGCAAGCGUUAAUCGGAAUUACUGGGCGUAAAGGGUGCGUAGGCGGGUCUUUUAAGUCAGGGGUGAAAUCCUGGAGCUCAACUCCAGAACUGCCUUUGAUACUGAAGAUCUUGAGUUCGGGAGAGGUGAGUGGAACUGCGAGUGUAGAGGUGAAAUUCGUAGAUAUUCGCAAGAACACCAGUGGCGAAGGCGGCUCACUGGCCCGAUACUGACGCUGAGGCACGAAAGCGUGGGGAGCAAACAGG
rnacentral:rRNA from 1 species